rnacentral:rRNA from 1 species
GAUGAACGCUGGCGGCGUGCUUAACACAUGCAAGUCGAACGGUGAAGGCGGUGCUUGCUCUGCGGGAUCAGUGGCGAACGGGUGGGUAACACGUCAGCAAACUGCCCCUGACUCUGGGAUAAGCGCUGCAAACGGCGUCGAAUACUGGAUACGAGCUGCGAAGGCAUCUUCAGCAGCGGGCAAGGACUGCGGUUUGGGAGGAGGGGGGGGGCUUUGAGCUUUUUCGUGGGGUAGCGGGUGACCAAGGCGACGAAGGGUAGCCGGCCUGAGUGGGCGUCCGGCCCCGCUGGGACUGAGACAGGGGCCAGAAUCCUACGGGAGGCAGCAGUGGGGAAUAUUGUACAGCGGGGGCGAGGCGGGUGCAGCGGCGCCGUGUGGGGGACGAACGCCUUCGGGUUGUAAACCUCUUUUAGCUGGGAAGAAGCGAGGGUGACGGUACCUGCAGAAGAAGCGCCGGCUAACUACGUG